CGAAGAUUUUCGGAUCGUAAACUCCUUUCGAUCGGGAAGAACGGCUUCCGGGUGAAUACUCCGGAAGAGUGACGGUACCGAGAGAAGAAGCCCCGGCUAACUCCGUGC
rnacentral:rRNA from 1 species